GACAGAGGCCUCGAGCGUUAGGCGGAAUCACUGGGCUUAAAGCGCGUGUAGGCGGAUCGUUAAGUGCCUUGUGAAAUCCCACGGCUCAACCGUGGAACCGCUGGGCAUACUGGCGGUCUUGGGCCACUCAGGGGUCACUGGAACAAGCGGUGGAGCGGUGAAAUGCGUAGAUAUCGCUUGGAACGCCGAAGGUGAAGACAGGUGACUGGGGGUGUGCCGACGCUGAGACGCGAAAGCCAGGGGAGCAAACGGG
rnacentral:rRNA from 1 species